rnacentral:tRNA from 1 species
UGCAGGGUAGAGCAGCCCGGCCAGCUCGCGUGGCUCAUAACCACGAGGUCGUCGGUUCGAAUCCGACCCCUGCAACCA